GAUGAACGCUGGCGGCGUGCUUAACACAUGCGAGUCGAACGAAGCACUUUAUUUGAUUUCCUUCGGGACUGAUUAUUUUGUGACUGAGUGGCGGACGGGUGAGUAACGCGUGGGUAACCUGCCUUGUACAGGGGGAUAACAGUUGGAAACGGCUGCUAAUACCGCAUAAGCGCACAGCAUCGCAUGAUGCAGUGUGAAAAACUCCGGUGGUAUAAGAUGGACCCGCGUUGGAUUAGCUAGUUGGUGAGGUAACGGCCCACCAAGGCGACGAUCCAUAGCCGACCUGAGAGGGUGACCGGCCACAUUGGGACUGAGACACGGCCCAAACUCCUACGGGAGGCAGCAGUGGGGAAUAUUGCACAAUGGGCGAAAGCCUGAUGCAGCGACGCCGCGUGAGCGAAGAAGUAUUUCGGUAUGUAAAGCUCUAUCAGCAGGGAAGAUAAUGACGGUACCUGACGAAGAAGCACCGGCUAAAUACGUG
rnacentral:rRNA from 1 species